rnacentral:rRNA from 1 species
CCCUUAGAUGUCCUGGGCCGCACGCGCGCUACACUGAUGCAUUCAACGAGUUUUACCUUGGCCGAGAGGCCUGGGCAAUCUUUUGAACGUGCAUCGUGAUAGGGAUAGAUUAUUGCAAUUUUUAAUCUUGAACGAGGAAUUCCUAGUAAACGCAGAUCAUCAAUCUGCAUUGAUUACGUCCCUGCCCUUUGUACACACCGCCCGUCGCACCUACCGAUUGAAUGGUCCGGUGAAGCCUCGGGAUUGUGAUGAGUUCCCUUUAUUGGGAGUUUGUUGCGAGAACUUGUCUAAACCUUAUCAUUUAGAGGAAGGUGAAGUCGUANCA